rnacentral:rRNA from 1 species
UACGGAGGGCGCGAGCGUUAAUCGGAAUCACUGGGCGUAAAGCGCGCGUAGGCCGUUUGAUAAGUCGGACGUGAAAGCCCUCGGCUCAACCGAGGAACUGCGUUCGAUACUGUUAGACUGGAGUGCUGGAGAGGGUGGUAGAAUUCCCGGUGUAGGGGUGAAAUCCGUAGAGAUCGGGAGGAAUACCGGUGGCGAAGGCGACCACCUGGACAGCAACUGACGCUGAGGCGCGAAAGCAUGGGUAGCAAAC